CUCAAGCCUGGUGCCGGGGAGGAGAGCCUGGCAGACAGAGCUCUGGGUAGAGUCUGGGUAGAGGGACCUGUGGUGGGAGAAAGAGAGAAGAUCAGAGUGGAGGGGAGAAGCAGGGUUGGGGCCUUGAAGGUACUGCUGAGCAUGUGGGUCCUUAUCCUUACCCUGCAUUGCCCGCAGGCCUGACCUUUGCUUCAUUCUUCAUGGCUGCCAAGUGAGAGUGUGGCCCCUGCAGAUGGUUGGAUCAUCCAUCCAGUUCUUUGCUUCCUCUAGCUGAUAUCCUUCUUUGCUGUACUAUAUGGGAAAAGCAAGAAAUAUUUGACACCAAAAUGUGGAGUUUUGCUCUUGUUGUCCAGCUGGAGUGCAAUGGCGCGAUCUCAGCUCACUGCAACCUCUGCCUCCUGGGUUCAAGUGAUUCUCCUGCCUUACCCUCCUGAGUAGCUGGGAUUACAGGCACCCGCCACCACGCCUGGCUAAUUUUUGCAUUUUUAGUAGAUGGGGUUUCACCAUGUUGACCAGGCUGGUCUCAAACUCCUGACCUCAGGUGAUCCACCCGCCUCAGCCUCCCAAAGUGCUGGGAUUAGAGGCAUGAGCCACCGCGCCCGACCUCAGUCUCUCAAUUGUGCUUCCUUUGUGUGGCCCCGUAUUGCCCUGUAUAGAAGCAUUUCGUCUUCACAACAACUCUAUGAG
rnacentral:lncRNA from 1 species